ACAGGAAUGUUUUACUGCACCAUGCGAAAUGGCCAAGCCAUACUCACGCGAUAGACUUUGGCUAGAUUAUCAUCUACACAGUAAUAAAGGAGAUUGGAGGCUAAAAGAAUCCUCGAACAAACAGUGAUCUUGUUACUCAUCUGAAGUUUUCCACAUAGUUCAUUGUUGCUUUCUGCAUCAAUACCAGAGAUUUAUUUAUUGCUAUAAAGAAAACAGUCUCCAAGAAGCAUUUGAUGCAAACAUGAAAGUGUUUAAUAAAAGGAAAUAGUAUCGUUCAAAACAUAUAAUUGUUAAAUAAGUCGUUUUACUAGGACCCCCCAACUCUAAUAAAGCUGAGUUGUUUGAUGUC